rnacentral:rRNA from 1 species
UACGUAGGGUGCGAGCGUUGCCCGGAUUUAUUGGGCGUAAAGGGCGCGUAGGCGGCCACGCACGUCCGUUGUGAAAUCGCCCGGCUCAACUGGGCGGGGUCGAGCGGAUACGGUGUGGCUCGAGCAAGCUAGGGGGCAAUGGAAUUCCCGGUGUAGUGGUGGAAUGCGCAGAUAUCAGGAGGAACACCAAUAGCGAAGGCAGCUCGCUGGGACGUUACUGACACUAAGGCGCGAAAGCGUGGGGAGCGAACGAGG